rnacentral:rRNA from 1 species
CGUAGGUGGCAAGGCGUUGUCCGGAAUUAUUGGGCGUAAAGCGCGCGCAGGCGGUUCCUUAAGUCUGAUGUGAAGCCCCGGCUCAACCGGGGAAGUCAUUGGAACUGGGAACUUGAGUGCAGAAGAGAAGAGCGGAAUUCCACGUGUAGCGGUGAAAUGCGUAGAGAUGUGGAGGAACACCAGUGGCGAAGGCGGCUCUUUGGUCUGUAACUGACGCUGAGGCGCGAAAGCGUGGGGAGCAAACAGGAUUAGAUACCCUGGUAGUCCACGCCGUAAACGAUGAGUGCUAAGUGUUAGAGGGUUUCCGCCCUUUAGUGCUGCAGCUAACGCAUUAAGCACUCCGCCUGGGGAGUACGGCCGCAAGGCUG